UACGUAGGUGGCAAGCGUUGUCCGGAUUUAUUGGGUUUAAAGGGUGCGUAGGCGGUUCAAUAAGUCAGUGGUGAAAUACGGCAGCUCAACUGUCGAGGUGCCAUUGAUACUGUGGAACUUGAGUACAGACGAGGUAGGCGGAAUUGACGGUGUAGCGGUGAAAUGCUUAGAUAUCGUCAAGAACACCGAUAGCGAAGGCAGCUUACUAGGCUGUAACUGACGCUGAGGCACGAAAGUGUGGGGAUCAAGCAGG
rnacentral:rRNA from 1 species